rnacentral:lncRNA from 1 species
CGGCCGCCCCAGCUAUCGGCACCGUAGAAGCAGACCCCAAGACCUCAUCUUCGCCGUUCUUCUCUAUCUCCGGCGAGCGGCGAUGAACCACGACGACGCAAGGUGAGCGAGCGGCAUGAACAACGCGAGGACAAUGCAGUAUUAGCUAAUUCUUGAUGGGCUUUAUUAUUUUGUUCAGCCCACUCCCAGCUCCCGUGUGACUCUACCGCCGCUAUCCCACCCGGCGCCGGCUUCCUCACGACUUCGCCAGGCGCGGCGCCGCAUCGCUCCUCUGUGGCUCCGCCUCACUCGCUUCCUCGACCACCGCCCAGCCUAGCCACGAGGUCGUCGGGUGCGCCCGCUGCCCGACUAGGCGCCGAGCAAGGCAGCAGCCAGCAAGCUCGUGCUCGUGGAGAUGGAGGGAGGAGGCCAAGGAGGCAACGGAAGAGGGGAGGAGGAGCUGGUGCCUGGUAUUGAGGGGUCUGGGGCUGGCCAUGGUCGCGGUAGCGAACAGGUUAGCGCCGGCGGAGGAGCAAGCGCUCCUGUAGCUCCACCAACAUCUGGAUUCCACCGAGGCCGAGGUUCAAGCCUUCAAGGGGCGUCCCCAGGAGUGGCAUUGGCAAGAAAAAUGGUAUUAAAUCAUUACUUCGUUAUUAAUUUAGCAUCUCUUCUCUCAAAAAUUAAUUUAGCAUCUCAAAUUAUUAGCAACUUAUAAAUUCUAUUUUGACAAGUAAUUUUAUGCAGACUUGAAGAGUUAUUUUCCAACUUUGAGUAUUGGUUCGAGUUCAAUGUGAUAAUAUGUGAGUGCGGUGCGUUGAUGUCUUCUUGGUUCAUUUUCUUUGGAUUUCGCCCCAGCUAAAUUUUUUUUCUAGGUCCGUCAUUGAUUUACGGAGGUGCAAAAUUACUGCCUCUAUAGGUCACGUAUUAACCGAGACCUGAGGCGGUUGGGAAGCUUGCCUCCAUUAACCAAUUUUGUCCAUCUCCAUUAAGCUUUAUGUACUAGUUAUAUACAUAGCUUAUACUUAUGUAUCUGGGCAUAUAAUAUAUAUAUCUAGUACGGUGAAGGAUGGACUAUGAACCGGCCCAACGGAUCCCUUGAUCUCGGUCUCGCUGGUUUUAGAGUUGCUUGCUGCAUGUGAUAGAUGGUGCACGACCUUGGGCAUGCUAGCCCUUGCUGCGUCAACAAUGUAAUAUAAGGAGGGUGUGUGUGUGUGUGUAUAAAAUGCUUCCUUAUAUUAGAUUCACUGUAU